CAGCACUGUGUCCCCAUCUGUUCUGGAGUCUUUGCUUCAGGGCCUGCAAGAGGAAGCUCAAUGCCGAUAUUUAAAAUCUGAGCAUUUCCUCUUCCUGUAACUGAGCUUUCUUCCCUUGCACCCAGCGCCAGGAUUGAAUGGCACCCAAGGGCAAGAGGAAGAGGACUUACAGAACUUGUUGGAUGAGUUCAACAGGGAAACCAGCAGACACGAAAAAAGGUUCAUUAAACUCCUGCUGCAAAGGUAUGGCUUUGUUCUCCUACAACAUAAUCUUAUGCAUGACUCAGAAGUUGAU